GUGGGGAAUAUUGGACAAUGGGCGAAAGCCUGAUCCAGCCAUGCCGCGUGUGUGAAGAAGGUCUUCGGAUUGUAAAGCACUUUAAGUUGGGAGGAAGGGUAGUAACCUAAUACGUUGCUACUUUGACGUUACCGACAGAAUAAGCACCGGCUAACUUCGUGCCAGCAGCCGCGGUAAUACGAAGGGUGCAAGCGUUAAUCGGAAUUACUGGGCGUAAAGCGCGCGUAGGUGGUUCAGUAAGUUGGAAGUGAAAUCCCCGGGCUCAACCUGGUAACUGCUUUCAAAACUGCUGAGCUAGAGUACGGUAGAGGGUGGUGGAAUUUCCUGUGUAGCGGUGAAAUGCGUAGAUAUAGGAAGGAACACCAGUGGCGAAGGCGACCACCUGGACUGAUACUGACACUGAGGUGCGAAAGCGUGGGGAGCAAACAGGAUUAGAAACCCUGGUAGUCC
rnacentral:rRNA from 1 species